AGAGAGAGACAUGCGCGCAUAUCAAUAAGCGGAGGAAAAGAAACUAACAAGGAUUCCCUUAGUAACGGCGAGUGAAGCGGGAAGAGCUCAAAUUUGGAAUCUUCAAGGUUUUACCUUGACGAAUUGUAGUUUAAAGAAGUGUUUUCUGCUGAAGUUUUGGUAAAAGUUCUUUGGAAUAGGACAUCAUAGAGGGUGUAGAAUCCCGUAUUUGACCAUUAUUUUCAGCUUUGUGAUACACUUUCAAAGAGUCGGAUUGUUUGGGAAUGCAGUCCAAAAUGGGUGGUAAAUUUCAUUUAAAGCUAAAUAUUGGCGAGAGACCGAUAGCGAACAAGUACCGUGAGGGAAAGAUGAAAAGAACUUUGAAAAGAGAGUUAAACAGUACGUGAAAUUGUCAAAAGGGAAGCGUUUGACACCAGUGUUGUUUUCUCGAAAAUCAAUUAAAAAUGGCUCGAUUUUGUAUUGCUUGAGACCUUAAAAGCUCACUGUACAUUUUUCGUGUCUUUUUUAAUGCACUUUUCGCUUAACAAGUCAACAUCAGUUUCUUUUGUUGUAAAAGGGUCAUUGGAAGGUGGCUUUCUUUUCGGAGAAAGUGUUUAUAGCCUUUGGCCUCUGCAAUCGAAGAGACUGAGGUCUGCAGCGUAGACUCUUCGGGGUUAGAUACAUUUGUGCUAAGUUAUAGCUUUUUAUAGACAACUUGUUGACUAUAAUUAGUCUUGUAGCUUACUCGCUUAUGCUAUUUUACCUACGCUUAGGAUGUUGAAGUCAUCGUAUCGCGC
rnacentral:rRNA from 1 species